rnacentral:rRNA from 1 species
AACCUCCGCAAUGUGAGAAGUCGCGACGGGGGGAUCCCAAGUGCCAUUCUUAACGGGAUGGCUUUUCAUUAGUGCUUUUGGAAUAAGAGCUGGCAAGACCGGUGCCAGCCGCCGCGGUAACACCGGCAGCUCUAGUGGUAGCAGUUUUUAUUGGGCCUAAAGCGUCCGUAGCCGGUUUAAUAAGUCUCUGGUGAAAUCCUGCAGCUUAACUGUGGGAAUGCUGGAGAUACUAUUAGACUUGAGAUCGGGAGAGGUUAGAGGUACUCCCAGGGUAGAGGUGAAAUUCUGUAAUCCUGGGAGGACCGCCUGUUGCGAAGCGUCUGACUGGAACGAUCUGACGGUGAGGGACGAAAGCUAGGGGGC